GCGGAUGUAGUUCAAUGGCAGAACAUCAGCUUCCCAAGCUGAGAGCGGGAGUUCGAUUCUCCUCAUCCGCUCCA
rnacentral:tRNA from 1 species